UACGUAGGGGGCAAGCGUUGUCCGGAUUCAUUGGGCGUAAAGAGCGUGUAGGCGGUCCGGUAAGUCCGCUGUGAAAGUCGGGGGCUCAACCCUCGAAUGCCGGUGGAUACUGUCGGGCUAGAGUGCGGAAGAGGCGAGUGGAAUUCCUGGUGUAGCGGUGAGAUGCGCAGAUAUCAGGAGGAACACCAAUUGCGAAGGCAGCUCGCUGGGACGUUACUGACGCUGAGACGCGAAAGCGUGGGGAGCAAACAGG
rnacentral:rRNA from 1 species